rnacentral:rRNA from 1 species
CCAAUAGCGUAUAUUAAAGUUGUUGCAGUUAAAAAGCUCGUAGUUGAAUUUCGGGGUUAGUAGGUCGGUCAUGCCACUGGUAUGUACUGGUCUCACUGAUUCCUCCUUCCUGAUGAACCGUAAUGCCAUUAAUUUGGUGUUGCGGGGAGACUGGACUGUUACUUUGAAAAAAUUAGAGUGUUUAAAGCAGGCUAACGCUUGAAUACAUUAGCAUGGAAUAAUGAAAUAGGACGUUCGAUCCUAUUUUGUUGGUUUCUAGGAUUGACGUAAUGAUUAAUAGGGAUAGUUGGGGGCAUUAGUAUUCAAUUGUCAGAGGUGAAAUUCUUGGAUUUAUUGAAGACUAACUACUGCGAAAGCAUUUGCCAAGGAUGUUUUCAUUAAUCAAGAACGAAAGUUAGGGGAUCGAAGACGAUCAGAUACCGUCGUAGUCUUAACCAUAAACUAUGCCGACUAGGGAUCGGAUGAUGUUAAUUUUUUAAUGACUCAUUCGGCGCCUUAC